rnacentral:rRNA from 1 species
CAGUAGCCACGGUAAUACGAAGGGGGCUAGCGUUGUUCGGAUUUACUGGGCGUAAAGCGCACGUAGGCGGAUCGAUCAGUCUGGGGUGAAAUCCCAGAGCUCAACUCUGGAACUGCCUCUGAUACUGUCGAUCUGGAGUAUGUAAGAGGUGAGUGGAAUUCCGAGUGUAGAGGUGAAAUUCGUAGAUAUUCGGAGGAACACCAGUGGCGAAGGCGGCUCACUGGUCCAUUACUGACGCUGAGGUGCGAAAGCGUGGGGAGCAAACAGGAUUAGAUACCCGCGUAGUCCCUGUCUCUUAUAC